GAUGAACGCUAGCGGCAGGCCUAAUACAUGCAAGUCGAACGAGAUUUAGGACUUCGGUUCUGAUGAAAGUGGCGCACGGGUGCGUAACACGUAUGCAACCUACCUUCAAUUGGGGGAUAGCCUUCCGAAAGGGAGAUUAAUACCGCAUAAAACAGCAGAGUGGCAUCACUUAACUGUUAAAACUUCGGUGAUUGAAGAUGGGCAUGCGUUGCAUUAGCUAGUUGGUAAGGUAACGGCUUACCAAGGCUACGAUGCAUAGGGGAUCUGAGA
rnacentral:rRNA from 1 species